GAACACAUUUCAUGGAUCAUUGCGGAGUUUGUUUGAUAUCGGGAAGAAUUUUAAGGCAAAAACCCGUGAAGAAAAGCAGGCGAUGCAAUAUUUGCAAAAACAGCGGGAACAAGCUCAUCUUGAAGAAGAAACUGAGGUUCUCCCAACCAAUGAAACCAUUUCGUGUAGCGAUUUUGAGGAAGAAGGGUCAAGCCAAAGACCGGAUCAAAUUUGUAGUGCAACCUCAAUUGAAACAUCAUCACAAAACGACAGCCAGGCUGGGUCAGUGUACUCGCCUAGUACAUCCGAAAGAGCUUCUCCAAAAACAGGUUCUCCAAAACCAGCUUUGACACGUAAAUCGCAACUGAUACGAGUUGUUACAGUUGAGGUAGCUGCUGCUUUGGUCCACUUUAAAGUGAGUGAUCGAAAUGCUGUGUUUCUAAUAUCAUCGAUCGCUAAAGCUUUAGGGCACGAUGUUUCAUCAUUAUAUUGUUGAACAAGGAAUCUGUCAGAAUCGCCAGAGCAGGAAUUCGCUUACAAAUGCAACAUGAUUUAAAAGCGUCGUUUAAGCCAGAUAUAAAUUUAACAGUACAUUGGGAUUCCAAGCUGCUACCUAACAUAUUACCAUCCAAAGCUCUACCAAAAACCGAGCACUUGGCCAUAGUUGUAUCAGGCGAAGGCAUUAGCAAAUUAUUGGCUGUUCCACCCAUCGAAAACUCUACGGGGGCACAACAAGCAGAAGUGGUGUACAAUGCAGUCGUCGAAUGGAGGCUUGCGGACAGAAUUAUGUUUACAUCUUUUGAUACUACUGCAUCAAACACCGGUAGAAAAAAAGGUGCGUGUCAGUACCUGGACAAAUUGUUUAAGAGGCAGCUUAUAGGCCUUAUAGACCUCAUACAUGAACUGCUACUUGGCAAAGUUUUUAAAAUUCUGAAAUUUGAAACGUCAAAGUCUCCAAAUGUUGAGAUUUUUAAGG